AUGCCAGACUCCUACGGGAGGCAGCAGUGAGGAAUAUUGGUCAAUGGGCGGGAGCCUGAACCAGCCAAGUCGCGUGAGGGAAGACGGUCCUAUGGAUUGUAAACCUCUUUUGUCGGGGAGCAAAGAGAUCACGUGUGGUCAAAAGCGAGAGUACCCGAAGAAAAAGCAUCGGCUAACUCCGUGCCAGCAGCCGCGGUAAUACGGAGGAUGCGAGCGUUAUCCGGAUUUAUUGGGUUUAAAGGGUGCGUAGGCGGGACGUGAAGUCAGCGGUAAAAUGGCGGAGCUAAACCCCGUCGAGCCGUUGAAACUGCCGUUCUUGAGUGAGCGAGAAGUAUGCGGAAUGCGUGGUGUAGCGGUGAAAUGCGUAGAUAUUAGGAGGAACACCAGUGGCGAAGGCGACUUACUGGACUGUAACUGACGUUGAGGCACGAAAGUGUGGGGAGCAAACAGGAUUAGAUACCCGGGUA
rnacentral:rRNA from 1 species